GCGGCGUGCCUAAUACAUGCAAGUAGAACGCUGAAGUCUGGUGCUUGCACUAGACGGAUGAGUUGCGAACGGGUGAGUAACGCGUAGGUAACCUGCCUCAUAGCGGGGGAUAACUAUUGGAAACGAUAGCUAAUACCGCAUAACAGUAUUUACUGCAUGGUAGAUACUUGAAAGGAGCAAUUGCUUCACUAUGAGAUGGACCUGCGUUGUAUUAGCUAGUUGGUGAGGUAACGGCUCACCAAGGCAUCGAUACAUAGCCGACCUGAGAGGGUGAUCGGCCACACUGGGACUGAGACACGGCCCAGACUCCUACGGGAGGCAGCAGUAGGGAAUCUUCGGCAAUGGGGGCAACCCUGACCGAGCAACGCCGCGUGAGUGAAGAAGGUUUUCGGAUCGUAAAGCUCUGUUGUAAGAGAAGAACUGUGAGAAGAGUGGAAAGUUUCUCACUUGACGGUAUCUUACCAGAAAGGGACGGCUAACUACGUGCCAGCAGCCGCGGUAAUACGUAGGUCCCGAGCGUUGUCCGGAUUUAUUGGGCGUAAAGCGAGCGCAGGCGGUUUGAUAAGUCUGAAGUAAAAGGCUGUGGCUUAACCAUAGUACGCUUUGGAAACUGUCAAACUUGAGUGCAGAAGGGGAGAGUGGAAUUCCAUGUGUAGCGGUGAAAUGCGUAGAUAUAUGGAGGAACACCGGUGGCGAAAGCGGCUCUCUGGUCUGUAACUGACGCUGAGGCUCGAAAGCGUGGGGAGCGAACAGGAUUAGAUACCCUGGUAGUCCACGCCGUAAACGAUGAGUGCUAGGUGUUGGGUCCUUUCCGGGACUCAGUGCCGCAGCUAACGCAUUAAGCACUCCGCCUGGGGAGUACGACCGCAAGGUUGAAACUCAAAGGAAUUGACGGGGGCCCGCACAAGCGGUGGAGCAUGUGGUUUAA
rnacentral:rRNA from 1 species